rnacentral:rRNA from 1 species
CCUACGGGUGGCAGCAGUGGGGAAUAUUGCACAAUGGGGGAAACCCUGAUGCAGCGACGCCGCGUGAGUGAAGAAGUAAUUCGUUACGUAAAGCUCUAUCAGCAGGGAAGAAACACUGACCUUACGGUCAGCAGACGGUACCUGAGUAAGAAGCCCCGGCUAACUACGUGCCAGCAGCCGCGGUCAUACGUAGGAUCCGAGCAUUAUCCGGAGUGACUGGGUGUAAAGAGUUGCGUAGGUGGCAUAAUAAGUAGCUAGUGAAAUCUGGUGGCUCAACCAUUCAGACUAUUAGCUAAACUGUUAAGCUCGAGACCGUUAGGGGUAACUGGAAUUUCUAGUGUAGGAGUGAAAUCCGUAGAUAUUAGAAGGAACACCAAUAGUGUAGGCAGGUUGCUGGGACGGUUCUGACACUAAGGCACGAAAGCGUAGGGAGCAAACGGGAUUAGAUACCCUUGUAGUC